AACCCAAGACACAGCCCGGGUAGGAAAAAAGAAGCCGAGGGCUGCAAGGGCUCCAGGCUGGGAAGUGUAAGGGUAGCUGCCCGCUCUCUCCACAAGGGGCCGCUCUUCACCAGCAAUUGACCUUUGCUCCUACACCCCCUUCUUUUGGAGCGAGAACCAGCACAGCUAGCCUUAAAUCUGGACUCUUCCCCCCGGAAAUGGUUUGGGCACGGACCAGGUUGGAGUUAAUGGGGGGGGGGGGGGGAGGGUUGGAGAGCUGCUAAGCUUCUAGCCCAGCUCCAUCGCGCUCCAAGAUGCUACCUGCGGGAGGACUCUCUAUGCCCUAGGCCGUCCCCAUGGCCGCGGCACUUUUCUAGUAGGCUCCGUUAUUCCCAAGUUCUGGACUAAAGUGCAGGCUUGCUUUGGUUGAGGCCAGGGAGGCGAGGAGCGCUCUUGGAGCUCUAGGGAGACGGGAGUCUCCCCAAGAGCUGGGGAGCAUCUGAAAGGUUACCCAUCUCGAACCCAGGGCCACUCAGUCCUGCCUCUCGGGUUGGACUACUGCAAGCUUCUAGGAAAUCCCCUCAAAGAGAGGUAAGGGUCUCAGCAGCAGCUUCCUUCCCUUAGUCACGGGGGAGCCACAAUCCCGUUUUCAGGCGCCUGAAGGAGGCACCAUCUGGAGCAGCACAGCUUGGGCAGGGCAGGUUUCCUUCCAGUUGCUUUGCCGGCUAUGUGAAAAGGUGAGGGGCAUAGAUUGUCCACUCCCCGCCCCCAUUAAAAUGCCGUUCAACGUUGGUAGUAUUCAUGGGAAGAUGGAAAUCAGGAACGGCACCAGGAAAGUGGCGAGUCAAGCUCGCCAGGGUUUCAAAGGGUCCGAGGCUUCAUUUCCAAAUAGAAUACCAGAGAGAGCGUUUCUCCUCCCACAGCUCACUGCGCUAGCCAGCCAGCCCGAGCCCGAGCCGGUGAAAUUGAUCCGCUGCACCCGGAACUGAGGGAGGGGGUGGAAAUUGACUCAGAACACGGCUGUCUGCUAACUCCAUUCAUUGGCCCUGGCCGGCUGAUCACUAGUCUCUAUACUACCCAUCUGGCCCUAGCUGGUCCGUAGCCUACAACCGCUAAAAUAGCCAACGAGGCCUGAAACACUGCUGGGAGCGCUUACACGCCAUACACCUCUUUCUCUCAGCUGGCCCUCAAAUGCACACUUCCCAGCUAAAUUGACCGCUUGUUUCCCAGCAUGCCUCCUUUGGGCACUGUCCAUAGGAGGGGAUUACAAGGGAAUAAAUAAAACAAAGGACAGCCAGAAAUCCUGGAGACGUUUAUCUUCCCCCUAAAUUAAAAGGGGAAUAGUUUAUCCCUUUCCCUUAGAGGGGAAAAUUUGGCCCCGUGUCCAGCACACAGGAGGUACUGUGUAAAUGUGAUUCUCCUUUCUUAGAAGUGGAGGGAGGGAGCAGUUGGGUGGCUCAGUGGAUGGAGAGCCAGGCCCAGAGAGGGGAGGUCCUGGGUUCAAAUCUGGCCUCAGACCCUUCCCAGCUGUGUGACCCUGGGCAAGUCACUUGACCCCCAUUGCCUAGCCCUUACCACUCUUCUGCCUUGGAGCCAAUAUACAGUAUUGACUCCAAGACAGAAGGGAAGGGUUUUUAAAAAAAGCGGAGGGAGCUGGGCGAGUAACUGGGGUCUUCAUUUCUUCCACUGUUGCCCCUUCUUUGACACAGUUCCCCCAUGUGGCCAAUCUCAAGGACCUGGGUUAGGAAUAACGGAGAACUUCCCGAGCAGCAAACUGCACUCGAUUUGAGUUUGAGGACUGAGUUUAUUCAGCGGUGCCUGCUGGCACCCCGGUUUAAACGGGGAAUCUCACUGGACCCCGAAAACGCAGCGCCUGGACAGCCAUCACAGUUCUUCACAUUCAGUCCUAUCCGCUGUGUGUGUGUGUGUGGGGGGGGGUCGGAAAGAGGCAGUUCAGCUCCCGCUAGGAGAUGAGGAAGGAGCACGCUGCUCCCCGGGAAGGUAUUCCGGGCGGGAGCAACGGGCCGGCUUCCCCCCUGCAGGAUCUGCCGGGCAAAUGGCUCCGGCUCGCUGCGCCUUCAUUCCCACCUGUUAUUCCGCACCAGAAAACAGACACGCCUCCGCCAACUUUGGCCCCGGGUCCUUUCACCAGGCAAACCAGGGCCCAAACCAAGCAACCAACCGCUCUACCUGUCUAGUCCUGCCCGCUACUUAAGGAGGGGGGAUGGGGGCAGCCACUCCUUUUUUCCACCAAUCCUAAUUACAGUUUAGCCAGCAAAUCCAUCCAAGAGAGUCUACCAAGGAGGAGGUCUAGCAAGGGAGGGGGAGAGGGCUCCCCGGCGGCGGCGGCCUCCUCCUCCUCGAGCCUGGGACCGUCUAGCUCACCGCGCGGGAGAUCCACGGCCCAAAGGCGUUUUGGGCCAGUUGCCCUCCGUACCCCCUGCCAUUCUCGAGGAUUAUUGCACAAUCGCUCCCCCCAAGCUGAGCUGGGCUCCUUUUCCCAGGGCAAGGCUGCACUGACCGACCAGAAGAGGGCGCUGCUGGCCCGGCUACCGGGCCCAAACCGCUAAGUUUUCACAACAAAGUUGAGGCUGUGUGCGAGUGAGUGUGUGUAGCUGAGGUGGAGAGCGAGAGAAGGAAGGAAGGAUUUUGACAUCGAGCCUGGGCAAUCAUUUACUCAACCGAGUAACUGGAACCCUUCAAGGGGGGAUCUAGCCUGGGGGUCACCACCUCGACCUGGCCUUGGCCUCUUCGCUUUCUCCCCUGCUGACCUCCGGGGCGUUCGGGACCUCUCGGGGGCACCGUCUAGCCCGCCUUGGGGAAGGGGGGAGGAGGAGGGAGUGGUUGCUGAGGGCCAAUGAGAGACACCCAUCGGCCCCUUGGCGGCCCUGCUCCCGAGUUGGGCACGAUUUGAUGCCCCCUGACUGCGCAUUCCAACCACCAGUCGAGGCUGCUCGGGUGGGAGCCGCGGCAAGUCGGCCGGCCUCGGUUUCCAAUAGCUAAAGUCUUCCAAAUGGGGUGUCGGGAGCUUCUAUUUAUAAGUGGCGGGGGCGGGGGGGGGGUGGCGAGGGCAAACCUUUCUGGUCCACACCGAGCCGCCGGCUCUUUGGGCCCGAGGCCUCAGUUCCAGGGGCUUUUGCUAAGGGUCCGUCCCCAGCCCCAGUCCUAAUCUCUCCCUUUCCACCUCCUCCUCCAGGCCCUUCCGGGAGCUGGCAGGCCGGGCUCGCCCCUGCCCAGAGCCCAACAAGUGUGGCUGCGGAUCCGCGAGCCGGGCUCUGCGUGCCAAGGAAAGGAGAGCGGCCUGGCUGGUGCAGGCUAGACCCAGCCGGAGGCCCACGGCUGGAAAAGGGGCUUUCUUUCAACCUCACUCUGUGAGGAGAAGUCGGAGCGGGGUGGGGUGGGGUGGAAAAGCCAGGGGCGGCCCAGAGACCUCGGUCUGCGCUGCCUUUUCCUCCUUCCUUCCCUCAGCCUCUCGCCUUCUCGCCUGCCUGUCCGCCCCACUUUUCAGGCGGCGUAAGAGAGCUUGUUUACAUUAAAAAAAAAAAAAAAAAGCCAAAA